rnacentral:rRNA from 1 species
UGACUCUCGGCAACGGAUAUCUCGGCUCUCGCAUCGAUGAAGAACGUAGCAAAAUGCGAUACUUGGUGUGAAUUGCAGAAUCCCGUGAACCAUCGAGUCUUUGAACGCAAGUUGCGCCCGAGGCCACCAGGCUGAGGGCACGCCUGCCUGGGCGUCACGCCUC